AUAAUUUUCAUGUAACAGUUCUUAUCCAAGUGCUGCUAAUCCGUGUGCAAAUAACGAAGCUAUUCGGUUGCCUAUCUAGCUAUUGAUAAAUCACUGUAAUCCUUGAGACAUAGUCUUGUUGCUCAUUUGUAUUAAAUUUUUAGUAUUGUGGGUUAAUAUUUUAGAUCAAAAUUCAUCAACUCAGCUCUGUGAGACAGCAAACCAUUUGGAUACAUUAGUUUUAUAUGUUACCAGUAGAAUAAAUUUUGAAGGGGCUGUUUACUACCAAUGACUAAGGGGGAAAAUUAUAUCGUCAAUUAUCAUUUGACUUGAGCAUUUGUGGUAUUGUGAAAGUCUUAUUUGUUGUGUUUCUGAAUUGCUUAAGCCAUACAUACAUACUCCUAAAGAUGUUUUCCUGUUGUGUUCCUUUUCAGUAGCCUUUUACUGCUGUGUCUGUUAUGAUUAGUACUUCAUAGAUUUUAGAAACUGAGAAGUUACUGAAACAUGUUAUUUCCUUGAGUUCAUCACUUUUGACUCUUGUAUGAUAUGUGAUUUGUCAUAAAGGAUAGCAAGCCUUUCACUAACUACUUCACUAAAUGAAUUUCAGAGUAAACACUGUGAUUCUGCAGAGUGGAUUCAGUAGGCCCUUGUCUUUCCAAUGUUUUCUUCUGUUACAGUGCCUGCCACCUUAAGGGCACUUAAACGCUAGAGGAUGGAAAGUUAAACAUUGUUGUUUUGAUGUUUAUUGAAAAAUAAGAUUACAGAAUAUUUGAUUUUUGUUGUCAGUGUAUUGAAAACAUUUUUGCAUUGAUAAAUGUUCUUUAGGAAUGUGACUACAUUCAUCAGGUGUGAACUCUUGUAAAUUAAUUUUGUAUCUUGAAUCCACGUGUAUAUUAAGUGUAUCAUCAAUAUAAAAAUAAACAUUAUUUGCUUAAA
rnacentral:lncRNA from 1 species